UACGGGGGGGGCAAGCGUUGUUCGGAAUUACUGGGCGUAAAGGGCUCGUAGGCGGCCAACUAAGUCGGACGUGAAAUCCCUCGGCUUAACCGGGGAACUGCAUCCGAUACUGGAAGGCUUGAGUUUGGGAGAGGGAUGCGGAAUUCCAGGUGUAGCGGUGAAAUGCGUAGAUAUCUGGAGGAACACCGGUGGCGAAGGCGGCUCUCUGGGACGGUACUGACGCUGAGGAGCGAAAGCGUGGGGAGCGAACAGG
rnacentral:rRNA from 1 species